rnacentral:rRNA from 1 species
GUUUGACCUCCGAUCAGGUAGGAAUACCCGCUGAACUUAAGCAUAUCAAUAACGCGGAGGAAGCU